rnacentral:rRNA from 1 species
UACGUAGGGUGCAAGCGUUGUCCGGAAUUAUUGGGCGUAAAGAGCUCGUAGGCGGUUUGUCGCGUCGGCCGUGAAAACCCGGGGCUCAACCCCGGGCCUGCAGCCGAUACGGGCAGACUAGAGUUCGGCAGGGGAGACUGGAAUUCCUGGUGUAGCGGUGAAAUGCGCAGAUAUCAGGAGGAACACCGGUGGCGAAGGCGGGUCUCUGGGCCGAUACUGACGCUGAGGAGCGAAAGCCAGGGGAGCAAACGGG